GUGAUGUACACUACAGCCAAGAAUGACAGAGGAAUUGUUCAUUACAAGGCCCUGCAGGUUGCCCAGCUCUCUUAGCAUGCCAAAACUCAGCUCAAGGUACAAAGGACAUCCAAUUUCAACAGCACAUCCUGCAUCAGUCUCUGAAAUCCUGCCUAGCCUUAUCAGUGAAGUGAGCCAAGAAUCUCCAGAAGCAUCAGCAGCCAUAAUAAGGCCAAAAUUCUGCUCAUUUGGCUGCACACAAGUUAGUGCACUGAAGGGUGUUAAGGCAAACCUUUCACUUUGUUGGUGCUCACACCUGGCACAAUCAGAGGAACCUGAGAUGAUUUAAAGGAUCACUCUUUGGACGUGAAUACUUGUAAGUAUUUUCAAGGUACAUAAAUUUACUUUUCAGAGGGAGCUGCAUAAUGAGUGGGCAUUUAAACUGCAUUUAAUGUUAGCACCAAAUUCAGCAAAGAGACCCAAAAUAAUCUCUCCCCACUGUCAAAUGCAUCUCUGGCAUCUCAGAUUUUGAAGGAAAGACAUCUUGUACAGGGAUGCACAUUUUGUGAGCUGACAGACCAUCUCUGUGAUGAACUCCUCUCCAAGGCCAUCAGGGAGCAAGAAUCUCUGCGGUGUCAUGUUUUUGUCUCUUUGCUUCUAUGCACUUGCUGCACUCUGACUGCAUUUUAGAAAAGCACUGUGAUGGGUGUGAUGGUAGAAUUUUCUUUUUUUUCCUCUGGCUACAGCGUCCUUCCCACCUGAUAGUCACAGAGCUGUCUUAAGGAGGAAGAGUUGUUCUGUGCAAAUCCCUCCUGGGGUUGAUUUGUCACACUCGGUGACUCAAGCUCCACGUGGAUGGCAAAGAGGGAGUUGUGCUGUUCUUUGUGGGAUGGUACACUUUUAUUUUUCCUAAAAGAAGAAUGACAGUUGCCUAAAAGAAAUCAUUAACAUACAAGAAGUUAUUCAAAUUUUCAUGUAGAAGGGCAGACUUAACUCUUUGAGCAGUUGAUUCUUUUCACCAAAAAGGUAUUCUGGCUGACUCAAACUUGCUGCUUAACAGAGGCAGGAAAAGAUGCAGUUCCCCUUAUUUCAGUCCAGGCUCAGCACUUGAAGUCAGUAACAGAGCUGAUGAGAGAGCUGAGUUGUGGGGACAGGAAUGUAGUUCCCAGCUCAUGGAUAUGACAACACUCAGCUCUCAGAAGAGAAGGGUACAGAAUAUUCUGAAUUUUUCCUGAGCAGCUACUUCUCUCCUUUGUACUGAGUAAUCUAAUAUGACAUAUUUACUAGAUCGGUAACAGCAGUGGGAGUUGUUUACUUUCCCAUUCUGUACAAACAUUUUCAAGAUGAAAAAUUAAAAUGUUUAAUUUCAAAACUGCCACAACAAAAUGUUUUCACUCAUUCAAAUUUUCAUCUUCAGCAUCUUCUAGCUUACUGAACAAGAUUCAUUAACCUGAUGUGCAGUUGGAAAUUCUGAAUACUUAACCAGAUACUCAGCUGCUACAGUAACCAGGCUCACUCCCAUACAUUUUCAGUUCAGAAAACAUUAGGGAAGUCACACUAAAACAGAAUCUCAAAGCAGUUCCACUGUAUUUGCACUCAGAGGGAGGAGUCUUAGCACUUAUCUGCUCUCCAUGAGCACAGGACAGUAUUUUCAUACUAUUAAAAAUAUUUUGUGUUCCUGAUGUAAUCAGACAGGUUUGAACAUGAGCUGCAGUUGGAUGAAAAUGGGUUUAAGGAUUGCCUUAUGUGAGGGGCAUGUUUAUGGCAACAGGAGUGUCACAGCAGCAGGGCUUUAAGCAGAAAAUAAAAAGGAAUCUAGGAGAUUUUUAUCUUGAGCUGACUUCUGCAUUUUUUUCUGGGUUUGAGGUAAGAAUUGCAAAUUCUGCUACAAAGUAAUUAAAUAAUAUUUCUGAGCUUGACUUCUCUUCCCUAUUUUGACAAGUAGUCAUCAUUUGCAUUGGGAAAAUAUAUGCCAGGCUAAAGCAGGAAAUUCCUUGUGUGACCCAUACAUCCACAAUUUACAAGUGAUCCUGGGUUUCAUGGACAUGAGCUAUGAGAUGGAACUAG